AAGUCGUAACAAGGUUUCCGUAGGUGAACCUGCGGAAGGAUCAUUAACACGUAUCCAACGUUAAACAACCCUGUGAACUUUCAGCGCUCUUGUAGCCCCAGAGGAACAGCAAUCCCGGUAAAUCAAAUGGCGGAAAGAGUUUUGAUUCGGGACCUCUGUCCAAAAGGUAUCAAGUUACAAUCGAGCAGAGCAGUGGCAUGGUUUCCCUAAGCAGUGCAGAAGGAUCCACUGAGUAAGGAUAACGCAUCACGGUUGCCAGAGGUCGAUCACUGGCCGGCAGACAUGUCACAGGGCUUUACGGCCGGAAACGCCGGGCAUAAAAACCGAACAACUCUUUCCUCUGGAUAUCUUGUUCUCA
rnacentral:misc_RNA from 1 species